AUGAAUUGGCCUGGGAACCCUGUUUGUUCAUUCUGUAAUGAAAUUGAGACUUCUGAGCACUUGUUCUUUACCUGUUCGGUCGCUAGGGUGGUGUGGCGAUCUAUUGGGGUGGCUAUUGGCACCGAUAAGUGUCCUGAUAACUAUUGGCAAUUCUUUGCUUGGUGUUAUUCAUUUCUUCCAGGAGGGGAUAAAUUUCAUACUGUUGGUCUUGCAGCCACUUGUUGGGCGAUCUGGCUUGCUCGCAAUAAGGCUACCUUUGAGAAAAAGCAAAUUAAGUCUCCUUUUGAAAUUGUGUUCUCUAUAUGCUCUUUUCUUUUGUAUUGGACAGGACUGCAGAAGGGUGAUGACGCUGACAAGCUUCGCUCAGGUGCCGAGAUGAUCAGGGCCAGCACGAUGCAGCUGAUGAGACUGUGCGGGACUACUGCCCAGCCGAUUGGAGGAGCGUGA
rnacentral:rRNA from 1 species